AACAGCAACUGCAGAAUAGCUUGACGGGAUUUGGAAAACCUUGGAAAAUAAACCCAGGAGAUGGAGCAUUCUAUGGCCCUAAAGUGGUUGGUGAAAAGGAAAAGCUAAACAAUUCAGUAAAUGUGCGAACAAGAGACAACAAAAUUCAUGGAGAAAUAUCAAUAACUUCAGUCAUUGAAAAAUUGAAGAACCUCAAAAAAUCACGUACGCUAAAUGCCGAGGAAGAAUUCUGAAGUCUUCCCCUUGUGCUUCUCUAUAACUUUGUUUUGACCUCUGAAAAUGCACUUUCCCUGUCACUUAAGAUACUAGUUCUUUUAAGAACCCUAGGGCCACUUGUAGGGCUCCAAUGAGUUCAACCUUAGAAGCAAAAGUGAUUAUUUGAUAUAAACAAAAUUUUAAUUCACUGUGUUCUGAGACUAAAUAAAAGAUGGAGAAAUUUGCAAGAUAAGAAGACUCCAGAGACCUAAGUGGUAAAAUGGUGUUCAUUCAAAGGAAGGAACACCAGUGAGAAUUAUCAGAAAUUAAGCUUUGUUUCUUUCUCAGAAGAUGUGCUUCCAGCCUGUGGGCUGUAGCUUCCUGACUAGAGCAUCCACGUUGCAUGUGUGAGUCCUGAACUCCGUCCCCAACGGCCACUGCCCCUCACCCAACAACGACAGAAACGACUUUCAAUAAAAGCCCAUGGUCCUUUCUGAACAUGGAAGGGAGGUGUCUUAUUUUCUAAUACACACAUCUCAGGUGUUUUUAUGGCUGUUUUACUAAAGUUCACAUGGAAAUGUCAUGCCCAAAGUUGGAAUUGAUACUUCAUUUAGUCAGCAAUCAUAAGAGAAGUACUAAUAUUGUGCUAGCGGCAAAGGACUAUGAAACUUCAAAGAAAAUUUGUGGAAUCGGUUAUUUGCGCUGUGG
rnacentral:lncRNA from 1 species